ACGGAAGGCAGCAGUGGGGAAUAUUGCACAAUGGGGGAAACCCUGAUGCAGCGACGCCGCGUGAAGGAAGAAGUAUCUCGGUAUGUAAACUUCUAUCAGCAGGGAAGAUAGUGACGGUACCUGACUAAGAAGCCCCGGCUAACUACGUGCCAGCAGCCGCGGUAAUACGUAGGGGGCAAGCGUUAUCCGGAUUUACUGGGUGUAAAGGGAGCGUAGACGGUGUGGCAAGUCUGAUGUGAAAGGCAUGGGCUCAACCUGUGGACUGCAUUGGAAACUGUCAUACUUGAGCGCCGGAGGGGUAAGCGGAAUUCCUAGUGUAGCGGUGAAAUGCGUAGAUAUUAGGAGGAACACCAGUGGCGAAGGCGGCUUACUGGACGGUAACUGACGUUGAGGCUCGAAAGCGUGGGGAGCAAACAGGAUUAGAUACCCUGGUA
rnacentral:rRNA from 1 species